UGAGGAAUAUUGGUCAAUGGACGCAAGUCUGAACCAGCCAAGUAGCGUGCAGGAUGACGGCCCUAUGGGUUGUAAACUGCUUCUAUAUGGGGAUAAAGUGGGGAACGUGUUCCCUUUUGCAGGUACCAUAUGAAUAAGGACCGGCUAAUUCCGUGCCAGCAGCCGCGGUAAUACGGUAGGUUCGGGCGUUAUCCGGAUUUAUUGGGUUUAAAGGGAGCGUUGGCCGUUUGGUACGCGUGUUGUGAAAUGUAGGAGCUCAACUUCUAGAUUGCAGCGCGAACUGUCAGACUUGAGUGCUCACAACGUAGGCGGAAUUCAUGGUGUAGCGGUGAGAUGCUUAGAUAUCAUUAAGAACUCCGAUUGCGAAGGCAGCUUACGGGAGCGCAACUGACGCUGAAGCUCGAAGGUGCGGGUAUCGAACAGG
rnacentral:rRNA from 1 species